AGCGAACGCUGGCGGCAUGCCUAACACAUGCAAGUCUGACGGGCCUGGGGCUUGCUCCGGGUCAGUGGCGGACGGGUGAGGAACGCGUAGGAACGUAUCCAAGGGUGGGGAUAACCGCGGGAAACGUGCGGCUAAUACCGCAUGGGCCUCAAGGAGACCUGGGGCCGAAAGGCUGAGGGAAACCUUGGUCGCCGAUGGAGCGGCCUGCGUCCGAUUAGCUAGUUGGUGGGGUGACGGCUUACCAAGGCUACGAUCGGUAGCUGGUCUGAGAGGAUGAUCAGCCACACUGGGACUGAGACACGGCCCAGACUCCUACGGGA
rnacentral:rRNA from 1 species